UACGUAGGGGGCGAGCGUUGUCCGGAUUUAUUGGGCGUAAAGAGCGUGUAGGCGGCCAGGUAGGUCCGUUGUGAAAACUCGAGGCUCAACCUCGAGACGUCGAUGGAAACCAUCUGGCUAGAGUCCGGAAGAGGAGAGUGGAAUUCCUGGUGUAGCGGUGAAAUGCGCAGAUAUCAGGAGGAACACCGGUGGCGAAGGCGGCUCUCUGGACCUGUCCUGACGCUCAGGCGCGAAAGCUAGGGGAGCGAACAGG
rnacentral:rRNA from 1 species